rnacentral:snRNA from 1 species
AUCGCUUCUUGGCCUUUUGGCUAAGAUCAAGUGUAGUAUCAUCAUCCAUUUUACUAGCAAGCCCUGUUGGUUGGAUUUUACCUGGAAAAACAGGGUGUAAGACAUUGUGAUAAAUAAAAACAUGUAUAUAAUUUCAGCUUUC